UACGAAGGGGGCUAGCGUUGUUCGGAAUUACUGGGCGUAAAGGGCGCGUAGGCGGCCCGUUUAGUCAGAUGUGAAAGCCCCGGGCUCAACCUGGGAACAGCAUUUGAUACUGGCGGGCUCGAGUUCCGGAGAGGAUGGUGGAAUUCCCAGUGUAGAGGUGAAAUUCGUAGAUAUUGGGAAGAACACCGGUGGCGAAGGCGGCCAUCUGGACGGAAACUGACGCUGAGGCGCGAAAGCGUGGGGAGCAAACAGG
rnacentral:rRNA from 1 species